CCUACGGGUGGCAGCAGUGGGGAAUAUUGCACAAUGGGGGAAACCCUGAUGCAGCGACGCCGCGUGAGUGAAGAAGUAUUUCGGUACGUAAAGCUCUAUCAGCAGGGAAGAAAAUGACUGUACCUGACUAGGAAGCCCCUGCUAACUACGUGCCAGCAGCCGCGGUAAUACGGAGUGGGCAAGCGUUAUCCGGAUUGACUGGACGUAAAGGGAGCGUAGACGGCAGAGCAAGUCUGGAGUGAAAUCCCAUGGCUUAACCAGGGAACUGCUUUUGAAACUGUGCAGCUAGAGAGCAGGAGAGGUAAGCGGAAUUCCUAGUGGAGCGGUGAAAUGCGUAGAUAUUAGGAGGAACACCAGUGGCGAAGGCGGCUUACUGGAAUGUAACUGACGCUGAGGCUCGAAAGCGUGGGGAGCAAACAGGAUUAGAUACCCCUGUAGUC
rnacentral:rRNA from 1 species